CCUACGGGGGGCAGCAGUGAGGAAUAUUGGUCAAUGGACGAGAGUCUGAACCAGCCAAGUAGCGUGAAGGAUGACUGCCCUAUGGGUUGUAAACUUCUUUUAUAUGGGAAUAAAAUGUUCCACGUGUGGGAUUUUGUAUGUACCAUAUGAAUAAGGAUCGGCUAACUCCGUGCCAGCAGCCGCGGUAAUACGGAGGGUCCGAGCGUUAUCCGGAUUUAUUGGGUUUAAAGGGAGCGUAGGUGGAUUGUUAAGUCAGUUGUGAAAGUUUGCGGCUCAACCGUAAAAUUGCAGUUGAAACUGGCAGUCUUGAGUACAGUAGAGGUGGGCGGAAUUCGUGGUGUAGCGGUGAAAUGCUUAGAUAUCACGAAGAACUCCGAUUGCGAAGGCAGUUCACUGGACUGCAACUGACACUGAGGCUCGAAAGUGUGGGUAUCAAACAGGAUUAGAUACCCGAGUAGUC
rnacentral:rRNA from 1 species